UUGUUUAGGCCUGUGAGGCGAAAUGAAAAUAAACUGUUAUGAGGUUGUGCGCUCAAAAGGCAAUCAAUCGCAAUAGCGGCCUGCCUACUUCUUUUAUUAGAGAUAUGGUGGAGCUGGAGCGUAUGCGUUGGU
rnacentral:rRNA from 1 species